rnacentral:rRNA from 1 species
GACGAACGCUGGCGGCGUGCUUAACACAUGCAAGUCGAACGGUAAGGCCCCUUCGGGGGUCCACGAGUGGCGAACGGGUGAGUAACACGUGAGCAACCUGCCCUUGACUUUGGGAUACCAGCUGGAAACAGCUGCUAAUACCGGAUAUGACCUCUUCUCUCAUGGGUUGAGGUGGAAAGCUCCGGCGGUCAGGGAUGGGCUCGCGGCCUAUCAGCUUGUUGGUGAGGCAAUGGCUCACCAAGGCUUCGACGGGUAGCCGGCCUGAGAGGGCGACCGGCCACACUGGGACUGAGAUACGGCCCAGACUCCUACGGGAGGCAGCAGUGGGGAAUAUUGCACAAUGGGCGCAAGCCUGAUGCAGCAACGCCGCGUGCGGGAUGACGGCCUUCGGGUUGUAAACCGCUUUCAGUAGGGACGAAGCUAACGUGACGGUACCUACAGAAGAAGGACCGGCUAACUACGUG